UUGAACGCUGGCGGCAUGCCUUACACAUGCAAGUCGAACGGCAGCACGGGGGCGACCCUGGUGGCGAGUGGCGAACGGGUGAGUAACGCAUCGGAACGUACCCGGAAGUGGGGGAUAACGUAGCGAAAGUUACGCUAAUACCGCAUACGUCCUGAGGGAGAAAGCGGGGGACCGUAAGGCCUCGCGCGAUUGGAGCGGCCGAUGUCGGAUUAGCUAGUUGGUGGGGUAAAGGCCUACCAAGGCGACGAUCCGUAGCGGGUCUGAGAGGAUGAUCCGCCACACUGGGACUGGGACACGGCCCAGACUCCUACGGGAGGCAGCAGUGGGGAAUUUUGGACAAUGGGGGCAACCCUGAUCCAGCCAUGCCGCGUGAGUGAAGAAGGCCUUCGGGUUGUAAAGCUCUUUCAGACGGAAAGAAAACGCAUCGGUGAAUAUCCGGUGUGGAUGACGGUACCGUAAGAAGAAGCACCGGCUAACUACGU
rnacentral:rRNA from 1 species